UACGUAGGGUGCAAGCGUUGUCCGGAAUUAUUGGGCGUAAAGAGCUCGUAGGCGGUUUGUCACGUCGGCCGUGAAAACUCGGGGCUCAACCCCGAGCCUGCGGUCGAUACGGGCGGACUAGAGGUAGGUAGGGGAGAACGGAAUUCCUGGUGUAGCGGUGGAAUGCGCAGAUAUCAGGAGGAACACCGGUGGCGAAGGCGGUUCUCUGGGCCUUACCUGACGCUGAGGAGCGAAAGCGUGGGGAGCGAACAGG
rnacentral:rRNA from 1 species